AGUCCAGUAGCACCUUAGAGACCAACUAAGUUUGUUCUGGGUAUACGCUUUCGUGUGCAUGCACACUUCUUCAGAUAUGGCAUCUGAAGAAGUGUGCAUGCACACAAAAUCUUAUACCCAGAACAAACUUAGUUUGUCUCUAAGGUGCUACUGGACU